rnacentral:rRNA from 1 species
GACGAACGCUGGCGGCGUGCUUAACACAUGCAAGUCGAACGGAAAGGCCCUGCUUUUGUGGGGUGCUCGAGUGGCGAACGGGUGAGUAACACGUGAGUAACCUGCCCUUGACUUUGGGAUAACUUCAGGAAACUGGGGCUAAUACCGGAUAGGAGAUCCUGCUGCAUGGUGGGGGUUGGAAAGUUUCGGCGGUUGGGGAUGGACUCGCGGCUUAUCAGCUUGUUGGUGGGGUAGUGGCUUACCAAGGCUUUGACGGAUAGCCGGCCUGAGAGGGUGACCGGCCACAUUGGGACUGAGAUACGCACCAGACUCCUACGGGAGACAGCAGUCGGGAAUAUUGCACAAUGGGACGAAGCCUGAUGCAGCAACGCCGCGUGCGGGAUGACGGCCUUCUGGUUGUAAACCGCUUUCGCCUGUUACGAAGCGUGAGUGACGGUAAUGAGUAAAGAAGCACCGGCUAACUACGUG